rnacentral:lncRNA from 1 species
CUUACCCCAUUGUUUGGAGCUGCUUUGCUGAGUCUUGGCCACACUGCAGGUGCUGGCACUGGACCUGCUGAUUGCAGUGGCCUUUUCCACACAGCCCUGGGGACAGCAACCCGGUGAGCAGGGCUGUGCAUGGGAGGGCAGCACAGGGAAGCAGGGCAGGAGGCUGCUCCUUUCAAUCCUUCCCCCCUGCCUUGCAGAUGGACAGCCCAACACAAAUGGCUCCAGAUGACACAAAGCCCUGGAGCUCAGCCCUCCACACUGGCGCCCUGCAAAGAAAGUGCUGGCACCACACCACCUGACUGCAGUGGCCGUGUCAACGUGGCAUUGCUGACACAGUGAGCCACAAAUGGCCAAGGAAACCAUUUUAGAGCAGCAACCCGGUGAGCAGGGCUGUGCAGGGGAGGGCAGCACCUCUUGUACUUCCCCUCUGCCUUGCAGAUGGACAGACCAACUCAAAUGGCACCAGAUGACCAAAACUGAUGCAGCUCAGCUCACCUCCAAACUGGUGUUCAUGUCCUACAAAGAAGGUGCUGGCACCAGACCUGCUGAUUGCAGUGGCCUUUCCACACAGCCCUGGGGACACAGGCAGCCCCAUGGCCAUGGAAACAGCUGGCACAGCAGCAACCCGGUGAGCAGGGCUGUGCAGGGCAGGGCAGCACAGGGAAGCAGGGCAGGAGGCUGCUCCUUUCUUCCUCCCUCCCCUUCUCACUUGCAGAUGCACAGCCCAACAGCUCUCAGCACCUUCACUACUGCACACAUCAGCGCCUCCAGGAACCACAUGGAUUGUGUGAAACACAGCUCUGAAGACGAGGACGGAACAAGAGGCCAACAGGGAUGGAUGGGCCCAAUUCAGAAACACCACAGACACCACAUCCAGAAGAGAAGGAAGCACCGGAACCCAGCGCUGCUGAGACCCGCAUGGAAGUUGAGGAGCCACGAAGACUGGCAGCCUUCCUGCCUCCACCCCCAGACGACCAGCGAGAAGCCAGCACACAAUUAA